GUAGAAUUUAGUAUUAUGAGAGCAAAUCAUACUUUCAAACUCAAAACUCACAACGUUUAGAAGUUAAAUCCGCCACUGAAAUUAAUCAUUAAAAGCCUCUAGUGACAAGAAUGCAGAAGGGGAGGAAAAGGAAAAAGUAAAGAGAGGGGUAUAUAUAUAUAUAUAGGAGUAGUAGAUGGAAGGGAGAUUCACGAGGGACAUCCAUCCAUUUUCUGCAAAACCCAAAGCAUGCAUGCUUCUUGUGUGUGUGUGUGUGUUAAUUUUGUGUUGCAUCAGCCAUAGGGCAUCAAUAACACACACACACACCAAAAGUCCCACUUCCUUCUUAUACCUUAAAAUGCUUCCUCAAAUAGACUAUUACCCUUUCUUCAUUAUUUGCUCUUUCUUGAAUCCAUUCUUGUUAUAUAGUACUAUAAGUAUAUAUUUGUAUGUUGGUUUUUGAGAGGUUGAAGCUGCCAGCAUGAUCUGGUACGAACAAAGUCCAUUUCUUUCUAUAUAUAAAUAUUUUCUUGCAAAGAAGAAAAGAAAAGAAAGUCCAUUUUUUCUUAAAAUUUUGAGGUCUUUUAAUUUCCUGUUUUGGGUUUGAAAUUGAAGUGAUAUUUUCGAAAAGAAAAUGGAAUUUUUCGAAGUUUUCUUGAAAGAAAAUAUAGGUAUCGUCUUUCAUAGGUUUGGUUCCAUCAGGUCAUCUAGCAGCUUCAAUCACUCACCAACAAUACAGAAACAAAUUAAAUUAAAAGGCUUCAUUUGAGCUUGACUUCUCAAGGAUAUAUUAGUCAAGACAUUGAUUUAUCUCAGGUAAUUCUGUAUCUUUAUUUUUACUUUAGAUUAUCUUCUUAAUUCCUUUUUUAACUCCUAGUCUAGUACUAAAACACAAUGAUGGUUCUAAUGACAUAUGAUAAUUGAACUUUAGGCGUGUCAAAUUGCAAAUAAGGCAACAAAAUUCUAUCCCAUUAAUGGAAGCCAAAUUUCUGUGAACUACUACUAUAUAUUGUUCCUUAUUAAACUUCUUUUUCCUUUUCUUCAAUUUAUUCUUUUAUGUUAUGUUCAUAAGUUUUUGUGGAAAUUCCCCUUAGGAUUUUUUUCAGGAAAUCAAACUCAAGAAUCCCCCCAAAAAAAAAAAAUUCUUCUUAAUUUGUUUUUAGGAAAACCCCAAAAAUAAUGAACUUGAGCUGACGGAGUAAAUGAGACUAGACCUCAGUAUUUCUGAUUUUAAGGACAGAUUUUCGACAAGGUUUUACUUUUCAUAGACAAAUGUAGUUCUUGUGUGCGUGUAUGUGUGUGCUUGUUUGUUUGUCAUGUCUAGUUUUCUAUGCAGAUAAUAUCAAGAUUGAGCAAGUAAAACAAAUUCCCAGGACACGAGAAAGAUCGACAUGCUUGUUAAUAAAUUUACAAGCUUGCAUUUUAUCUUAUGGUAUCAAAUUAACUAAUCACGAUGACACGUACUGUACUUUUGUUAGUGGAAAUAAUACUUAAUAACCUAACAUUAUAUGUUUAACUAGUGGUGCACCAUUUAAUUAUUACAAGUUCAUUUUGGUAGGUAAAAGAUUGUCGGAUUUUCAUUACUUGGUGCCCUUCUAUUGUUUAUAAAUAUAUCUCAUCCAAUUACAACAACUAUUUGAAGAAUAUGACCUCGUAAAUUUGACAUUCUUGUGUUUGCUGAAGUGUUUUAUUCAUCUGCCUAUUGGAGCUUAAUUUAUGCACCAAUUGGUAUGUAUGCAUGUAUGAAUGUCAAGCAAUCCUGUACCAUUUUGACAUUUCAGAAUUUAAACUUUAUAGUCAGAAUACAUAGACAGACACUUUAACUAUCACAGAAAUUUUACUUGAGCGCGUGAACAGUAAAAAUAUGUUGACAAAAACUAUUUCAAUGGUACAAUGCAAACAGUAAAAUACACCAUUUUCCCAUUAUAUAAUUAAACCCUCAUCCCCUUUUACCUGCCCUAGUUCUUCACCCUUUCCUAAAAAGUCCAGCCCUAUUUCUUCACCCUUUUCUUGAUUUUUUGGUUUAAAAAUUCUAUUAUUCUCACCAAAUUGAAAGUUGUCUCGCCGUUUGUGUUCGAAUCUUGGCUUAAGCUCUCAAUUAUGUCUCUCACACCAAAAGUCGAUUCAUGCCGUUGUGGUCAUGAAUGUCAAUUAAAAACUUCAUGGUCUCCAUCUAAUCCUGGAAGGAGGUUCUAUGGAUGCAGAAUUGAAAAGGACAAAGGUGGAUGUAAUUAUUUUAGGUGGGUUGACGACGAGUUUCCUAGCCAAGCGAAUAGGGUUAUUUGGGGUUUACUAAACAGGGUCAAAACUUUUGAAGAAGAAAGGGCUCGAGUAAUAACAUGGAGGAAGAAAUUGGCUUAUAUUAUAGUAAUAAUGCUAAUUAUUUGGGUUUGCUACUGUGUCGUCGAUCGUUGUAGUUGUUGUGGUCUGGUGGUUGGAGUAGUUGUUGUAUUUUGUGUCUUAGGUGCUGUAUUUUGUGUUUGUAAUGGUGGUUGAUAUAUUUUGGGUGUAUCUAGUUUGUUUGAAUGUAAUUUUGGCCAGUGGCCUUAUUUCAAUGAAACAAUUUUUCUGCAAUUGCUUUU